UCUGUCUGUCUUUCAGAUCCACCCGGUCCUUAAAUGAUGGAUGCUGGUUUUCUGGAUCAAACUGCUCAUCCCGAUACAAAAGGACAUAUUCUGUCUCCACAUCAGGUGACAGAAAUAUGCCAGUAAGAAAUGUUCAAAGCCAGGAGGACAAACUCGAUGAAACUGGACAGAAGAGAAGAGGCUAACACAAACCCAACACAGAUGUAACCUCAGUGAAGUAACAUGAAGACAGCUGUAAUGUCUGUGAACACGGAACAAAAGAAAGGAGUCCAUUAUCCUCAGGUCCUCACAGACUGGAUGGGUCACCGGAUGAAGCUCACUCAUUCACAGAAAUCUCUCCCAGUGGAAAAUAUUCACUGCAUGAAUAAAUAAAGUUAGACUAUGAUUACACAAACUGAACCAUGACUUAGAAAACGUAAUGGAAACGUGUCCACCUCUGGCUGAAUUAGUCGUGUAUGUGUGGAAAUGUCGUGUGUCAUUCAUGUGUACUCACUUUCUGCUAGUGCCGCAACAUUUGGCAUCAGUCAGACAUGUAAAAAAGUAAUUACAGGAUCAGUAUUACUGAUACAGAGCAUCCAUAUCUUAUAUCAACUUAUAAAGGCAGCUCGUGUAGGGGAGAGCAGUGUCCCAUGAUGUAUGAGGUCAGUGUGCUAAAUAUGAAAAUGUUACACUGGGAAUUACUAAACUCACAGUUUUUCACUUGAAAUUUUAUAAAUUAUAUUUCAGAGAGAUCAAAUAUAAAUGAAAAGCACUGUUGUUCACUUACAUGUUGCACUUUCUUACUGGCUGUAGCCUCCAUGUGCCCACUGAGUCACAUGAUGAGGGGAGGAGCAGAAGGACCAAAGAGUGCAUGUCUGACAUUUAUCAUAAUUAUUUGUCAUUUUCCAUUGUCAACACAUUAAUUAAAAAGAAAAUAAAAUUUAGUGUUUAUAUUUGUUAUUGUUGAGCGGUCAUGUACAGUGUUAAUGUAUGUGUGUAAAUUACACAAGCUUGUCUGGAUUGUUGUUUGAAAAAUGUAUUUGCUAUAAGAUGAUAUUCAGUUUACUCAGUUGUCAGCCGGGUGACAUAUUCCAGUAUAUGAAUUCAAUUACAGGCAGGUCUUAAAACUUUUGUCUAAAUUGAGACAAAGCUGAAGUUAUUUUGUUAAACUGUCAGAAACAUGGUGUUUAAUGAGGUAUUUACUCUG